AUGUGUACUUGGUAUGACUUGCGAUUCAGGUUGGAGAAGAAUCAAACAAUUGAUAAAGUUGCUCAGCAAGAACUUGAAAAAGAAAGGGAGCAUUGGAGAAAAGUUUUGCUCAGGAUUCUUUUGAUUGUGAAAUUUCUUGCGGAACAUAAUAUAGCAUUUCGUGGCAGUAAUAGCAAGGUGUACCAAGAUAGCAAUGGGAAUUUCUUAGGAUUGGUUCAAAUGUUGGCUGAAUUUGACCCAGUUAUAAAAGAACAUGUUGACCGCAUCACAAAUGAUAAAAUCCGUGAUCAUUAUCUUGGUCCUUCCAUCCAGAAUGAACUAAUAAAUUUGCUCGCUGUUGCAAUCAGGUCUGAAAUCAUUAGAAAGGUAAAAGAAGCAAAGUACUUCUCUGUUUUACUUGACUGUACUCCCGAUGCAAGCCACCAAGAGCAGAUGUCUUUGAUAAUUAGGUAUGUUGAUGCAUCUUCUGGUUCUUUUUGCAUUGAGGAAUCAUUCUUAGGUUUUUUGGAUGUGAAUGAUACCACCGGGCAAGGAUUGUUUGAUGUUCUAAAAAAUGAAUUGAAAAGUCUUGACCUUGAUAUUGUUAAUCUGAGAGGGCAGGGAUAUGAUAAUGGGUCAAAUAUGAAAGGAAGACAUCAAGGGGUAAAAAGUAAAGUUUUGGAAAUAAACCGGAGAGCUUUUUAUUCGGCUUGUGGUUGCCAUAGUCUAAAUUUGACAUUAUGUGAUAUGGCAAAGUCUUGUCGUAAAGCAUCUGAUUUUUUUGGCAUUAUUCAACGCAUCUACACAACAUUUGCUAAUUCUACUAAAAGAUGGCAAAUUCUCAAAAAUAAUAUAACAGAAGUAACACUCAAGUCAUUGUCAGCUACUCGUUGGGAGAGUCGUGUUGAUAGUGUUAAGGCUAUAAGGAUUUAA
rnacentral:rRNA from 1 species